GCAUCCGUAGCCGGAUGUGUAAGUUUUCGGUUAAAUCUAUGCGCUUAACGUAUAGGCUGCCGGAAAUACUACACAUCUAGGGAGUGGGAGAGGCAGACGGUACUCGGUAGGAAGGGGUAAAAUCCUUUGAUCUAUCGAUGACCACCAGUGGCGAAGGCGGUCUGCUAGAACACGUCCGACGGUGAGGGAUGAAAGCUGGGGGAGCAAACCGGAUUAGAUACCCGGGUAGUCCCGGCUGUAAACAAUGCAAACUCAGUGAUGCAUUGGCUUGUGGCCAGUGCAGUGCUGCAGGGGAAGCCGUUAAGUUUGCCGCCUGGGAAGUACGUACGCAAGUAUGAAACUUAAAGGAAUUGGCGGGGGAGCACCACAAGGGGUGAAGCCUGCGGUUCAAUUGGAGUCAACGCCAGAAAUCUUACCCGGAGAGACAGCAGAAUGAAGGUCAAGCUGAAGACUUUACCAGACAAGCUGAGAGGUGGUGCAUGGCCGUCGCCAGCUCGUGCCGUGAGAUGUCCUGUUAAGUCAGGUAACGAGCGAGAUCCCUACCUCUAGUUGCCACCAUUAUUCUCUGGAAUAGUGGGGCGAAUUAGCGGGACUGCCGUAGUUAAUACGGAGGAAGGAAGGGGCCACGGCAGGUCAGUAUGCCCCGAAACUCUGGGGCCACACGCGGGCUGCAAUGGUAGUGACAAUGGGCUCCGAAUCCGAAAGGAGGAGGUAAUCCUCAAACGUUACCACAGUUAUGACUGAGGGCUGCAACUCGCCCUCACGAAUCUGGAA
rnacentral:rRNA from 1 species